GCCGCGGUAAUAAAGAGGGGGAAGGGUUAAUUGGAAUUAAUGGGGGUAAAGGGAGGGUAGGUGGGUGGAUAAGUAAGAUGUGAAAUCCCCGGGCUCAACCUGGGAAUUGAAUUUGAUAUUGUUGAGUUAGAGUAUGUGAGAGGAAGGUAGAAUUCCAGGUGUAGCGGUGAAAUGGGUAGAGAUUUGGAGGAAAACCGAGGGGGAAGGCAGCCUUCUGGCAUAAUACUGACAUUGAGGCUCGAAAGCGUGGGUAGCAAACAGGAUUAGAUACCCUGGUAGUCCACGCCGUAAAGGAUGUUUAUUAGUGGUUGGGUCCCUUGAGGACUUAGUGACGCAGCUAACGCAAUAAGUAGACCGCCUGGGGAGUACGGCCGCAAGGUUAAAACUCAAAUGAAUUGACGGGGGCCCGCACAAGCGGUGGAGCAUGUGGUUUAAUUCGAUGCAACGCGAAGAACCUUACCUGGUCUUGACAUAUCUAGAAUCCUGCAGAGAUGCGGGAGUGCCUUCGGGAAUUAGAAUACAGGUGCUGCAUGGCUGUCGUCAGCUCGUGUCGUGAGAUGUUGGGUUAAGUCCCGCAACGAGCGCAACCCUUGUCCUUAGUUACCAGCGGGUUAAGCCGGGAACUCUAAGGAUACUGCCAGUGACAAACUGGAGGAAGGCGGGGACGACGUCAAGUCAUCAUGGCCCUUACGACCAGGGCUACACACGUGCUACAAUGGUAGGUACAGAGGGCAGCUACACAGCGAUGUGAUGCGAAUCUCAAAAAGCCUAUCGUAGUCCAGAUUGGAGUCUGCAACUCGACUCCGUGAAG
rnacentral:rRNA from 1 species